rnacentral:rRNA from 1 species
GAGUUUGAUCAUGGCUCAGGAUGAACGCUGGCGGCGUGCCUAACACAUGCAAGUCGAACGAAGCACUUCUGGUUUGAGAUUCGUCAAGAACCGGAAUUGACUUAGUGGCGGACGGGUGAGUAAUGUAUGAGCAACCUGCCUUUCAGAGGGGGACAACAGUUGGAAACGACUGCUAAUACCGCAUAAUGUAUUUGGGUGGCAUCACCUGGAUACCAAAGGAGCAAUCCGCUGAAAGAUGGGCUCAUAUCUGAUUAGUUAGUUGGUAGGGUAACGGCCUACCAAGACUGCGAUCAGUAGCCGGACUGAGAGGUUGAACGGCCACAUUGGGACUGAGAUACGGCCCAGACUCCUACGGGAGGCAGCAGUGGGGAAUAUUGGGCAAUGGGCGAAAGCCUCGACCCAGCAACGCCGCGUGAAGGAAGAAGGUCUUCGGAUUGUAAACUUCUUUUAUGAGGGACGAAGGACGUGACGGUACCUCAUGAAUAAGCCACGGCUAACUACGUGCCAGCAGCGGC